rnacentral:rRNA from 1 species
UACGUAGGGUGCGAGCGUUAAUCGGAAUUACUGGGCGUAAAGCGUGCGCAGGCGGUGAGCUGUGUCCGAUGUGAAAGCCCCGGGCCUAACCUGGGAAUGGCAUUGGAAACUGGCUCGCUGGAGUGUGGCAGAGGGGGGUGGAAUUCCGCGUGUAGCAGUGAAAUGCGUAGAGAUGCGGAGGAACACCGAUGGCGAAGGCAGCCCCCUGGGCUAACACUGACGCUCAGGCACGAAAGCGUGGGGAGCAAACAGG